AUCCUAUUGUAGUUCAUGAGCAUGAUGAUUGGGUUUUCACGUGCAUGCGCAAGCUAUGCCUCCCUCAAUCCUUAUUACGUCGGCACAUUACCCCUCUGACU